GGGUGUAUCCUACUUACCUACCCAGUACCAAAUAUCCACCCCAUGCCUGUGAAUGCAUAAAUAAUAUAACAGUUGAAAAAGAAAAAUUGUAUACCCCAAGAAAAAAAAUUUCCAUAUUUUUCAAAAAUCUAUGGAACUUCACGCUACGUCGACUGCUUAAAGGGUUCUUGAAGAAUUUCGUAUCAAGGUUAGACGGAAGACCGGAAACACUUGGGGUCAGUUAUUUUGUAAGGGGAUUUAGGGUUGAGCCAGGUAAAUAGGAAAGUGGACAUUGUUGCAUUAUCUGCAACUUCCCCAUAUGGCCUCCAUAUGUGGACUUUAUGUUCCCCCAGGGAGAGGGCGUUGCUACGACCCCAGCUGAUGUUUAGCGUCCGUUUCUUCAGUUACUCUUAGUCCGUGCGUUAGUACGAACGUUGCUCGUUUGAGGCACGUAAAAGUAAAAGAAGUCUGAGAAAUAAGACGGCAGAGAUAAAAAAUAAAAUAGCUUCGAAGAAACCGUUAAAAAGCGAGCGUACAAACGAGGAAUAAGACUACGUGGGAAAGUUGAAAGUCGCUAAACAAAAUGAUUCCUGAAACCGAAAGUACCUGCACCACGGCGGAAGUGACGUUGAAAAAUAUUGAAGUGGAAAAGCCGAAGGGUGAAAGCGAGACAGAAAUGGCGUCCACCACAGCGUGGAAGAGAUACCAGCAGUUCGUAUCGAUGAUGGAGUCAAGGGGUGGGAAAUUGAAUAAAAAAUUAAUUAUCGAGGCAAUGUACAGGGGUAACGAUCUAGCCUAUGCGAGUCAUUGAUAAUCAUUAUUAGAAAUAGAUAAUGCAAGUCAUCCAAUGCUACUCGUAGAUAGGAUAAGCUCGAUAAUAAUUUCCUUUGCAAAAUCGAUUACCAUUCGGUAUCGAUUAUUAUCAAUGCCAAAAAAAAUGUAUUAACUAGUCAAUAUAGAAUAUUUGGAGUUUAGAUGAUCCCGUUAGAUUACAAUAAACGACAAAGGUAGCUAAUUAUGGAUCAUUGUCGAUCGCGCGAUCAUGAUGAUCUAUGCUCAAUCUUGCCAGUAAAAUACUCAGCGUGUUUAGCUAUAAUUAAAACGUAGUCAUCAAUAAUGAAUACUGUAUGCGCAUUGCUUUAGACGUAAUACUUUUAGUUCCUAAGGUAUAGUACAGUAUAGAUAUAGUAUCUGUAUAAUCUAUAAAAUGAAAGCAGGAUGAAAAUGUAAUAUAAAUUUAAACGUAAAUAUAUUGCGAACUCGUUGCGCGUAUCUCAUGUGGACGUGAGCCGUGGCCGUGCAAUGAAUUUAUAUAGGGGAGUAUAAAAUUGAUUUUAUAUAAAAUCAUACAAGACAAUUUCGUCUAGUCCGUAUAGGUAUAUAAAAGUAGAUAUACAGUUAAUUUCAAAAUCCAAUACUCACAAAGUGUAUAUUCAGCGUUAUAGAUAAUAAAUACGUGAACAUACGAGAUACACGAUGUGCCGUAUACGUUAUACGAUUUUCUGAUAGCAUCUAAGAUACUAUACUAUCAUUGAAUAUAUAAUGUAUUGGACUCUAGUAUAUGCUUCGCUAGACAAUUUCCUGCCCCUUACCGCAGUCGUGAUCUUUUCGAUAUAACCUGCAGAUUGUCAUAAUAUAAUACAUGUCACGAUAUUUAUCUCGUGUCAAUACACUUAAUGGGUCCGCGUUAUUAUACAGCGGUACAUAGAAAUUUAUAUACCAAUAGAAUGGAUUGAAAUCUGUAUCGAUAUAUUGAAAUUUAAAAAAUCUUAAUCAAGUGUCGAAAGUACGUGUUUUUUUAACUAAAAGAUCUGUAUACAUUGUUAUGUACUUGUUUGUACAUUGAUAGUAUGCAGGUGUAUCUAUAGGUACAGUGCACUUUACAAGGGAAUGGUACUGGUAUUUCAGUUAUGUUUGACUUUAGGUGAAACUGUAGCAUUAUUCUUGCAACGUACUGUACAUAUAUAUAUGUAUCAUAAAACCGGGUUUACAUCUAGGUAUUAUGGAAGUAUGUAUAUUGAGAUUGUGAACAGGCCAUUAUCUAGAAAACAGGUUCACAAAGUGAAGAAUAAUAGACGGAAUCAAUUAUAAAAUAUGUUAAUCUCCCUCAAUUUAUAUUAACGACGCAGGAUUAUCUUUGCGAUUGGAACAAUAAAGUAAUUCUUAAGAUUUUA